rnacentral:rRNA from 1 species
UCAGAUUGAACGCUGGCGGCAGGCCUAACACAUGCAAGUCGAGCGGUAGAGAGGUGCUUGCAUCUCUUGAGAGCGGCGGACGGGUGAGUAAUGCCUAGGAAUCUGCCUAGUGGUGGGGGAUAACGUUCGGAAACGGACGCUAAUACCGCAUACGUCCUACGGGAGAAAGCGGGGGACCUUCGGACCUCGCGCCAUUAGAUGAGCCUAGGUCGGAUUAGCUAGUUGGUGAGGUAAUGGCUCACCAAGGCGACGAUCCGUAACUGGUCUGAGAGGAUGAUCAGUCACACUGGAACUGAGACACGGUCCAGACUCCUACGGGAGGCAGCAGUGGGGAAUAUUGGACAAUGGGCGAAAGCCUGAUCCGGCAAUGCCGCGUGCAGGAUGAAGGCCUUCGGGUUGUAAACUGCUUUUGUACGGAACGAAACGGUGAGCUCUAAUACAGUUUGCUAAUGACGGUACCGUAAGAAUAAGCACCGGCUAACUACGUG